CGGCCGCGGUAUCCUGACCGUGCAAAGGUAGCAUAAUCACUUGUUCCCUAAUUAGGGACUAGAAUGAAUGGCCAAACGAGGAUUCAACUGUCUCUUAUUUUUUANUCAGUGAAAUUGACCUUUCAGUGAAGAGGCUGAAAUACUAAAAUAAGACGAGAAGACCCUAUGGAGCUUAAAUUAAAAGUUUAAUUUUACUCUUAUUAACCUAAUGGUUUAACACAAAAAUUUUAAACUCUAAAUUUCGGUUGGGGUGACCUCGGAGAACAAAAAAUCCUCCGAAUGAUUUUAACAUAGACCAACAAGUCAAAGUAACCCAAAGAUCUUAUUGACCCAAAGAUUUUUUGAUCAACGGACCAAGUUACCCUAGGGAUAACAGCGCAAUCCUAUUUUAGAGUCCAUAUCGACAAUAGGGUUUACGACCUCGAUGUUGGAUCAGGACAUCCCAAUGGCGCA
rnacentral:rRNA from 1 species